GGAAAUUUCAUGAUCCGACUGGAAUCCAGGAAAAUCACAGCUGAAAUACAAAACAUCAGCCCUUAUCUCCAGCACUGUACAUGGCAGAAACUGCUUUUAUUCUAGAUGUCUAGAUCCAGAUCAACUGCAUGGGGUCCUACAGGAGAAGACCAAGAGACAGAGACAGAGACCAGGGAAAAUGACCGAUACCAUUCCUUCUCAGGGAUGCUACACACCCAUGGGGCAGAGGAUAAGAGGUUCCUGAAGGCAUCACCCCUCUGGCCAUGGCUGGUGUGCAGACAAAGCUGGAGAUUUGGAGUAGCCUGUUGUCCCACUGACUCUUAGACUGCCCCAGCUAAGAAGAACCAACUCCUCCUAUUACAGAUGAAAUAAACAAAGCUACUCAAGCUCUCUGGCAUCGCCCUGACGGUCAUCAUGUGCUUCACAUUUCCCUCCUGCCCCCCCUGAUUUUCUGGAAAAGGGAGAAAGUGUGUGAAAAAAAAUGGACAAUAACUUCUGUUAACUUUGUAGAUGUCUGGUUCCUCCAUAUGAGGCUGUGCUUGAAUCAAUUUUGGAGAGAGGGUUUCUAAAGUCUCUCUAGAUUCUAUUAAUUUUGAUAGAGACAAUAAAAGGCAGCAGGACCAACUCUGUGUGGUGGGAGAUCUAGCAACCAUUAUAGUCACAAUAGCCACCACUUACUGAACACCCACCAUGUGACAAAGAACAAAUGUGCAUGAAUUAUGUCACAUUUUUCACAAGCACCCCUUGAGUUGGGAGUUCACUCAUGAGGCAACUGAGGUUCAGGGAGAUGAAGUAACUCACCCUGUAGGUAGGAGGGCUGAGAUCUGGACGUAGAUCUUUCCUCCAAAGCUUUGUCUUUUUUUUUCUACUAUAGCACACCAAAGAGAGUUCUAGAAAAAAUGAGAAUAAGAAAUUUACCUGUAAUCCUUGCUCAAGAAACUGAAGCUCUGAGGCCACAUUGUUCCAGCCUUUUGCAGCUCCUGCAUGUGGAUACCAGCACCAGCAGCUCCCCGACCAGGGGCCCCAGCUAAGCCCUCCCAGAGGAUGAUCUUGGCUUUGUACAUGGGGUGUCAAUAUCCUGUGAGUCCAACAGAGGGAAGACAUAAGAAUAUGGUCACCCAGUCAGCCCAGAACAUUGCUGCAUUUUUGUGAGCCAUCAGCAUCCAAAGUGAACACAGGGUCUAAAUAACUGAAGAUGGCAUGAGGGAACACACAAUCAGGUCUUUAAAAAAAGAAGAAAGUGAAUAGGCAAACUGAACAGGACAUCUAGGACUGAAAAGCCUCUGUGAACAACUGGACUCAAUAUGAAAUUGGCGUGAGCUCACAGAAGACCAGCUGAGUUCCAGAUGUGGUUGGGUAGCUUGGGUUAUGGGCCCGUAUAAAAAAAAUGGUCUCUUCUUGUAAAAGGAAUUCAAAAAAAGACUAAAAGUCACCCCAAAGAGUCACUGUCUUUGUCUUUUGGCCAUUAGUAAGUCAGAAGAGACCUCUAGAGGAGACUGGAUUUUGUGGCUGAUUAUCGAUUAAUUGAUCAUCACUGGGUAUCUUUGGGAGUGUUGCCUUCUCAGGGAGAAGCUGAAAAUCAUUCUGUGAAAGGUAUGUCCACUGACAAUCAUUUAAGCUCUUUGGAGGCAAGAAAUCAGGUAUCUGGGAGAACUCAGAGAUAACAUAGGAGCGACAGGCUGAAACCAUGAGCGAGAUGGGCAGAUGGCUUGAGAAUGACGAUGGGCAGAGGAGAGCAGUGGCAGGGAGAACCCACAGGCCUCUACUUGGAGUCAGCCUGUCAGCAGGAUAAGCUACAAGAUCACCCUCGAGGGAAACUGCAGGCCAGGUCAGGGGCACUGCAAGCUGCAGGUGUGCCCAGGCAGGAGGGCAGGUGGCCUGUGAUGAGGGGCCAUGACUGUGUGGUGGGCUCUCCCACACCAGGAGCAACUAGACACUAGACUGAAAGUUCUUUUAAGUGAGGGAGCCAUCUUCUGUCCAGGGAAAAGUGGUUCGGGAUACAGGAGGAGCCCUGCACCACAGAAUCGGUCUAGUCUCAGGCUGUCUGUUCCACAGGAGCCUCCAGCCCAGUGAUGUAGGCAGCUAUUCACAACCACAUCAUGGCACAAAGUGAGGCCUCCCAAUCCACAGCCAUCCCUGAUUACAGACACUUCACUGGAUGUCUGAACAUAGCUGUGUGUGCCUGGAAAGCCUAGAAAUAGAAACGCUCCUUUUUUCCCCAAGACGAUCAUCUCUACAUCCUGACCUGGAUCAACAGUGAUCCAUUCUGGACAAUCCUGGACACUCCUGCUCCUGGAGAGAAGGGAUAGAUAACUUUUCCACCUGCCUGCCUGUCCUGUCCACCUCGAGGUGGUCUUGUGGCAUCUUGGGCCUCACAUGUCCCAUAGUCUCUUCUCAUCCCUCCAAUUUGCUCCUUCUCCAGACUUCUCUCUCUUGGUUGAGUGGUUCCACCAUUUUCCCAAGUUGCUUGGACCCAACACUUGAGUUACAGCCAACUCCUCUCUUUCUCUCACAACCCAAAUCUAAUUCAUCAGUAAGUCCUGGUGGCUCCACAUUCGGAAUGUUCCUGGGAUGCCACCACUUUUUGUCAUCUCUGUUACUGCUAGCCUGCCCCUUGCUACUGUCAGCUCCAGCCUGGAGGACUGAAAUAACCUCCUCACUGUCUCCAGCUGUUCUUCCCGCCCAUGGUCUAUUCCCCAGACACCACCAGAGGGAUGCUUUGAAGUCCAGAUGGCAUCAUGUCAUUUAGAAUGAAACCUGAGGUCCCAAGUGUGGCCCGAGGGAUGGUCAGGUUGCCCCCAGGGCUCCAUUUCCUGCCACUCUUCCUCUCUCUCACUCUGCUGGAGCCACAUGGUUACUAUUCCUGAACACAGGAGGCUCCCUCCUGCUUCAGGUCUCGUGCAGAUUUGUUCCCACAGCCUGGGGACAGAUUUUAUCCCAGAAGUUCCCAGGGCUUGAUUCCUCCCUUUAUUUAGUUCUCAGCUGAAAUGUCCCCUCUUCUGAGCAGCCUUCUCUCACCACCCGAUGGAAGCAGCCGUCCCUGCACGCUCUAUCACUUCACUCGGCUCUAUUUUUCUUCCUAACACGUUCACAACUUGACAUUCUUUUAUAAUUUUUCACUUAUUUAUUGAGUGCUGUCUCUUCCACUAGAACCCCUGAAAGCAGGGAUUUUUAUAAUCUUUUGGCCACCACUAGAUUCAUAAGGAUGCACAGAGCCUGGUAGGCUGCAGGCUGUCCAUAACUGCUUGUUGAAUGAAUCGAUGGAUGAAUGAUCAGCAGAAGCUCGUUUCUCUCCAUGAAAUACAACGGGUUCCAAAGAAAUCGAAGCCUUUUUGAAAGGCCUAGCCAUACUUCACCCAUACAGCUGCAGUGGCAGAUCCAUGCUCAUGACCUCAUUUCUCUCC
rnacentral:lncRNA from 10 species